CAGCCGCCGCGGUAAUACGAAGGGGGCUAGUGUUGCUCGGAAUGACUGGGCGUAAAGGGCGCGUAGGCGGUUCGUACAGUUGGAUGUGAAAUUCCUGGGCUUAACCUGGGGGCUACAUUCAAUACGUGCGGGCUUGAGUGUGGAAGAGGGUUGUGGAAUUCCCAGUGUAGAGGUGAAAUUCGUAGAUAUUGGGAAGAACACCGGUGGCGAAGGCGGCAACCUGGUCCAUAACUGACGCUGAGGCGCGAAAGCGUAGGGAGCAAACAGGAUUAGAUACCCCCGUAGUCCCUGUCUCUUAUAC
rnacentral:rRNA from 1 species